AACGAACGCUGGCGGCGUGCUUAACACAUGCAAGUCGAGCGGUAAGGCCCUUUCGGGGGUACACGAGCGGCGAACGGGUGAGUAACACGUGGUGACCUGCCCUCAGCUCUGGGAUAAGCCUGGGAAACUGGGUCUAAUACUGGAUAUGACUCCACGGUGCAUGUCGUGGGGUGGAAAGCCUUGUGCGGCUGAGGAUGGGCCCGCGGCCUAUCAGCUUGUUGGUGGGGUAANGGCCUACCAAGGCGACGACGGGUAGCCGGCCUGAGAGGGCGACCGGCCACACUGGGACUGAGACACGGCCCAGACUCCGUACGGGAGGCAG
rnacentral:rRNA from 1 species